rnacentral:rRNA from 1 species
GACGAACGCUGGCGGCGUGCUUAACACAUGCAAGUCGGACGGACAGGCCCUGCUUUUGUGGGGUGCUCGAGUGGCGAACGGGUGAGUAACACGUGAGUAACCUGUCCCUGUCUUUGGGAUAACUUCAGGAAACUGGGGCUAAUACCGGAUAGGAGCUCCUGCUGCAUGGUGGGGGUUGGAAAGUUUCGGCGGUUGGGGAUGGACUCGAGGCUUAUCAGCUUGUUGGUGGGGUAGUGGCUUACCAAGGCUUCGACGGGUAGCCGGCCUGAGAGGGUGGCCAGCCACAAUGGGACUGAGAGACGGACCAGACGCCUACGGGAGGCAGCAGGGGGGAGUAUGACACAGUAGGCGGGAGCCUGAUACGGCAGCGCCGCGAGCGGGAUGCCGUCCUACGGGGUGUAAACCGCUGUCGCCGGUGACAAAGCGUGAGUGACGGUAAUGGGUAAAGAAGCACCGGCUAACUACGUG